UACGUAGGUGGCAAGCGUUGUCCGGAUUUAUUGGGUUUAAAGGGUGCGUAGGCGGUCUUUUAAGUCAGUGCUGAAAUAUCCCGGCUUAACCGGGAGGGUGGCAUUGAUACUGAAGGACUUGAGUAAAGUUGAGGUAGGCGGAAUUGACGGUGUAGCGGUGAAAUGCUUAGAUAUCGUCAAGAACACCGAUAGUGUAGACAGCUUACUAAACUAUAACUGACGCUGAGGCACGAAAGUGUGGGGAUCAAACAGG
rnacentral:rRNA from 1 species